GCGGCGUGCUUCAUACAUGCAAGUCGAACGAGAAGCAGGAGCUUGCUCCUGUGGAAAGUGGCGGACGGGUGAGUAACACGUAGGAAAUCUGCCUUUGGGUGGGGGACAACAGUUGGAAACGACUGCUAAUACCCCAUAUGAGCUUGGUUGCAAUACCAAUCUUGAAAACUCCGGUGGCUAAAGAUGAGCCUGCGUCUGAUUAGCUUGUUGGCGGGGUAAUGGCCAACCAAGGCGACGAUCAGUAGCUGGUUUGAGAGGAUGAUCAGCCACAAUGGGACUGAGACACGGCCCAUCCUCCUGCGGGAGGCAGCAGUAGGGAAUUUUGCGCAAUGGGGGAAACCCUGACGCAGCAACGCCGCGUGAAUGACGAAGCCCUUCGGGGUGUAAAGUUCUGUCAGUAGGGAAGAAUUUUGACUGUACCUACAAAGGAAGCACCGGCUAACUCCGUGCCAGCCGCCGCCGUAA
rnacentral:rRNA from 1 species